CACUCACAGGCCAAGCCUAAAAACCUGCUUGCGAGCUUGGACUGGGUGGUAUGGUUGUGGUUGGAAAUAGGCAUAGCUGAGCCUCGGGGGCUGGGGCUGGAGGGCAGAGGAGAUGGAGGUUUGGAGCCAGAGACAAGCCUGGAGAGUUUGGGCAAAACCAGGAGCAAGGGCUGAAGCACUGAGAUUGGAGCAGGAGCGGGCUGUGGUGAUUAUGGCUUGACAAGACCUUCAGCGUUUACAAGACAAGAGGUUAUAAUACGCCCUCUGAGCAGUGCUUCGUCUUCAGGGCAGAUUGGAGGCUACAGUGGGUCGCUAUCGGAAAGUGGCGAAACGGACUGGGGCUAGCUGGUUAGCGGCUAACUUCAGUAGAAGAGAAGACGUGAUAGAGACAAGAGUUCACGCUGGCGUUGCUUUCCACCCUUUGAGACAGCGGAUAGUGCUUGGCGAGUAAGGGAAUGCAGUGUGAUGCUGAACUUGCAACGUUCCUUCUAUACUGUAGGUGAAGUUGUGCCAGAAACCUCCACACUAACACGAGAUGAUGAAGAUGCCACACAGUAAAGAUCCAGGAGCAAGAUCCCACAUUUAACCUGCAGAGAUGUCACCUGACACUAGAGAAGGUUCAAACAUAUGUGGCCCGAUGCCCGAGAUGCAAACCACCUUUUUGUCCUCGUCCACCUCCUCCGUGACUGGGGUUGGAGCUGGAGGGUUUCCAUCCAUGUCAGGUUUGCUGGAUUCAUCCUGGGUGAUUUUGAGCCCUGAAGACCUUCUCAAAGUUACAGUAAGUCCCACCAACGCAACCGAGUCAGUGCACACAUUUCAUUUCACUUAAGCCCACAAAUUUCAACCUCAUGGUAGAGGAAAAGUCAGAGAAUCACAAAGUCAGUAGGAUGUAUCCUCUGGGGACUAUGAAUGACUGCAAAAUUUCAUGUCAUUCCAUUGUUGAGAUCGAUUGUCACGUCACAAGCAUGAAUUAAAAAAAAAAAAGAAAAACACAACAGUAACUCAACUUACAAACCACCUGUACAACUCUUAUUUUCAGCUCUGCCGGCUUCAUCAGGGUGAUAAUUAAGGUUCUGAUGAGGGUGAGAUAUCUGAAAAAAUAGCAUACAUUAAAACUCAUACUAGUCUGCAACCUGCUGUGUGCAUGUUCUUGAAGUUAGCGACUGAUCAAUGUACAGUGCGUUCCCCCUGCAUAGCAAUGUUUAAUUGAAUUAACAUCUCAUCCAUCACAAGUGUAUCUUGGAUAUUUACAAUAUGUGAAUAAAAGAAGGGUUGUUGAACCUUUGGUGUACAGGAUGAUACUUGUGUAUAUAGUCUCAAACUUGUUGGUGUGAGACCAUUGUACCGACA